rnacentral:rRNA from 1 species
CACCUACGGGAGGCAGCAGUGGGGGAUAUUGCACAAUGGGGGAAACCCUGAUGCAGCGACGCCGCGUGGGUGAAGAAGCGCCUCGGCGCGUAAAGCUCUGUCAGCAGGGAAGAAAAUGACGGUACCUGAAGAAGAAGCCCCGGCUAACUACGUGCCAGCAGCCGCGGUAAUACGUAGGGGGCAAGCGUUAUCCGGAUUUACUGGGUGUAAAGGGGGCGCAGACGGCGAUGCAAGCCAGGAGUGAAAGCCCGGGGCCCAACCCCGGGACUGCUCCUGGACCUGCGUGGCCAGAGUGCAGGAGGGGG